rnacentral:rRNA from 1 species
UACGUAGGUGGCAAGCGUUGUCCGGAUUUACUGGGCGUAAAGGGCGUGCAGGCGGUCUGUUAAGUUCAGGGUGAAAGCUCCCGGCUCAACUGGGAGAGGUCCUUGGAUACUGGCAGACUUGAGGGAGGUAGAGGAGAGUGGAAUUCCCGGUGUAGUGGUGAUAUGCGUAGAUAUCGGGAGGAACACCAGUGGCGAAGGCGGCUCUCUGGGCCUGUCCUGACGCUGAGACGCGAAAGCGUGGGGAGCGAACCGG